rnacentral:misc_RNA from 1 species
GAUGAAGAACGCAGCGAAAUGCGAUAAGUAGUGUGAAUUGCAGAAUUCAGUGAAUCAUCGAAUCUUUGAACGCACAUUGCGCCCGCCAGUAUUCUGGCGGGCAUGCCUGUUCGAGCGUCAUUUCAACCAUCAAGCCCCGGGCUUGUGUUGGGGACCUGCGGCUGCCGCAGGCCCUGAAAUGCAGUGGCGGGCUCGCUGUCACUCCGAGCGUAGUAGUUACAUCUCGCUCUGGGCGUGCUGCGGGUUCCGGCCGUUAAAAGCCUUAUUUACCCAAGGUUGACCUCGGAUCAGGUAGGAAGACCCGCUGAACUUAAGCAUAUCAAUAAGCGGAGGA